AGUGAACGCUGGCGGCGUGCCUAAUACAUGCAAGUCGAACGGAGAUUAAGUAGCUUGCUAUUUAAUCUUAGUGGCGCACGGGUGAGUAAUAUAUAGCUAACUUGCCCAUUACUAAGGGACAACAGUUGGAAACGACUGCUAAUACCUUAUACUCCGUAUCUAUAUAAGUAGAUACGGGAAAGUUUUUCGGUAAUGGAUAGGGCUAUAUCGUAUCAGCUAGUUGGUAAGGUAAUGGCUUACCAAGGCUAUGGCGCGUAACUGGUCUGAGAGGAUGAUCAGUCACACUGGAACUGAGACACGGUCCAGACUCCUACGGGAGGCAGCAGUAGGGAAUAUUGCUCAAUGGGGGAAACCCUGAAGCAGCAACGCCGCGUGAAGGAUGACACUUUUCGGAGCGUAAACUCCUUUUCUUGGGAAAGAAUUAUGACGGUACCCAAGGAAUAAGCACCGGCUAACUCCGUG
rnacentral:rRNA from 1 species